rfam:TPA: Bos taurus chromosome 28, whole genome shotgun sequence.
UUUUUGGUGGCUCAGAUGGUAAAGAAUCUGCCUGCAAUGCAGGAGACCCGGGUUCAAUUCCUGGGUUGGAAA